rnacentral:rRNA from 1 species
AUUGAACGCUGGCGGCAGGCCUAACACAUGCAAGUCGAACGAGUGGCGGACGGGUGAGUACUGUCUGGGAAACUGCCUGAUGGAGGGGGAUAACUACUGGAAACGGUAGCUAAUACCGCAUACCAUCAGAUGUGCCCAGAUGGGAUUCGCUUGUUGGUGGGGUAACGGCUCACCAAGGCGACGAUCCCGAGCUGGGCUGAGAGGAAGACCAGCCACACUGGAUCGUAGACACGGUCCAGACUCCUACGGUAGGCGGCAGUGGGGAAUAUUGCACCAUGGGCGCAAGCCUGAUGCAGCCAUGCCGCGUGUAUGAAGAAGGCCUUCGGGUUGUAAAGUACUUUCAGCGGGUAGGCGUUACCCGCAGAAGAAGCACCGGCUAACUCCGGGCCAGCAGCCGCGGUAAUAC